rnacentral:tRNA from 1 species
UGGUCCAGUGGUUAAGACUCUGCUUUUCCACUGCAGGGGUCAGGGGUUCAAUCCCCCU